rnacentral:rRNA from 1 species
GGGUUGUGAGGUUAAGCGACUAAGCGUACACGGUGGAUGCCCUGGCAGUCAGAGGCGAUGAAGGACGACGUAAUAAGAGACACGCGUCG